rnacentral:rRNA from 1 species
AGGACGAACGCUGGCGGCGCGCCUAAUGCAUGCAAGUCGAGCGACGCAUACCGGAGGGGUAACCCAUCGGUAUGACGGAGCGGCGAACGGGUGAGUAACACGUGAGCAACCUGCCCCACAGACCGGGAUAGCCCAGGGAAACUUGGAUUAAUACCGGAUAUUCUCGAGGAACCACAUGGCUCUUUGAGGAAAUGCCUUUGUGCUGUGGGAUGGGCUCGCGGCUUAUCAGCUAGUUGGUGGGUAACGGCCUACCAAGGCAUCGACGAGUAGCUGGUCUGAGAGGACGAUCAGCCACACUGGGACUGAGACACGGCCCAGACCUCGUAGGGAGCAGCAGCAGGGAUCUGCACAGUGGCGAAGCCUGACGCAGCGACGCCGCGU